AUUUGGAGAGGAUGCUUCUGGCGCGGCGCCGUCCGAGUUCCUUGGAACAGGACGCCACAGAGGGUGAGAGCCCCGUACGGACGGACGCCUAGCCUCUACGAAGCUCCUUCGACGAGUCGAGUAGUUUGGGAAUGCUGCUCAAAAUGGGAGGUAAAUUUCUUCUAAAGCUAAAUACCGGCCAGAGACCGAUAGCGCACAAGUAGAGUGAUCGAAAGAUGAAAAGCACUUUGAAAAGAGGGUUAAAAAGUACGUGAAAUUGUUGAAAGGGAAGCGCCUGUGACCAGACUUGCGCCCCGCGGACCACCCGGCGUUCUCGCCGGUGCACUCUGCGGUGCGCAGGCCAGCAUCGGUUCUCCCAGGGGGACAAAGGCCGCGGGAACGUAGCUCCUUCGGGAGUGUUAUAGCCCGCGGCGGCAUGCCCCUGGGGGGACCGAGGACCGCGCUUCGGCAAGGAUGCUGGCGUAAUGGUCACCAGCGACCCGUCUUGAAACACGGACCAAGGAGUCAAGCAUUGGGGCGAGUGUAUGGGUGCCAAACCCGCACGCGAAAUGAAAGUAAACGCAGGUGAGAGCUUCGGCGCAUCAUCGACCGAUCCUGAUGUCUUCGGAUGGAUUUGAGUAAGAGCCUUACCGCUUGGACCCGAAAGAUGGUGAACUAUGCCUGAAUAGGGUGAAGCCAGAGGAAACUCUGGUGGAGG
rnacentral:rRNA from 2 species